AUGCGAAACAAACAGAGUUUGGCGGUGGAGUUCGUUGAAUCCACCUGCUUUGUAGCAACUGUAGGAUAAAAACUGUUCGUUGGUUUCCACAUUCCACUCCAUGGGAGAGGUUAGCUUUGACGUAAUCAAUUCUGAAGCUAAUUACAGAAUGUUUAUUUGGGCCUAAUUGGGUAACCCGACCCAUUCUAUAUUGGGCCUAUUAAUUAGGCCCCAUAAUAUCCGCAAUUUGUCGACGUGGGGGCACUUUUACAAUUUUACAUAACUACAGGGAGUAAAUGGAAAUUUCUGCAGGCAGCUGGCAGCUCCUUGAUGCACCCACUAGCAGAUGAGGGAAGAACUCUGCUCUGCUGAAGACGAUGAUAGUUCCGAGACUGGAAGGAUGCCUGCGGCUGCUGAGACUGGCGAUAGAAGUAGCGAUCAUGCUUGUUGAAGCUGUUGAAUGGAUGUUUUUCGAAGCAAAUUCGAUGCUGUCUUCGAUUCCUGACUAUCCACUUCUGCUUCCGCUUAUUGAUAUUGUUCCUUAAUUUUUGUCCGGGAGCUGACUUGGGCUGCGUUUUGAUUGAAGAACCGGUGAAUAGUAGUAUCUUUAUGUAUUUUUAGCAUCAGUGCAAUUAGUUGCUUGUGGAGAUUGUGCUUGUCACAUAUGCUGGCUUUCUCCGUACAUUUGGAUAUGUAUAGUGUAAUUGUAAUUGUAAUUGUAUAGUUUUGUUUGUGAACGAGUUCCACUGAAGGUACGAUGAUUCGGUCUUGGUUGUUGCCAUAAUUGAAGAAAUUUUGUCUAUCAAGGUGUUGGAUCUGGGAGGAGCAGUUUUUAUUAGACUUGAAUUUGAUGGUUGGGGAUCUGUACUGCUUAAUUUGGUUUUUGUGAAGUAUUUCUUAAGGCUGAGUAUUAGCAGACUUGGGGAUUCGAAUUGGAAACGCAAAAGAUUUUUCAGUGUUCUUGAGCUAUUGCUAGUAGAGGAAGAUACAUGUAAAGGUAAAAGAAUAAAGAGGAUUACUGACUUACUGUGUAUUUCUUAGUAUCAUGUUAACCAAGGGAUUAGUUUAACUAUUCAUUGUCUGGUUUUUGACAUUGAUAUUUCAACAUGAAUCUGUUGGCAGGUUCCAAAUUUAAUGGGUCUGGCCUUUGUCGCCACACCACUAAUUAUCUUGUUUAGAUAUUUAACUCCUGUACGUUUAUUAUUGGUUUCCACUUGCCAGCAGUCUUUCUGUUUGAAUCACCAUGUUUAUCCAAAUAAGAAAUUCAUCUACAUUCCACAAAGGAAUCUUUACUAUGUGUGAGGGGCCCAGCUCCAUAAGGUACAUCUCUUUAAGGUUUUGAAAACUUAAUCCAUGACACUGUUGAGAUAUAUCUUUCAGUUCUAUGUUAUACUUUGGGUAUCUUGCAAGAUUCAUUAUUUAUUACUCAAUUGAAAAUACUUUAGAGGAGCAUCAUAUGUUGAGCCAUUUUCCCCUCAUAGCUUGUUUAGUACAACUCAUAAUAUACUUUCAAGAAUACUUCUGAGCAAUCAGAAGCAGAUUGUGAAACAACUCAGUUGGUUUAGACAUCAUAGCCAUGUGGUCAGAUGCUUUCACUACUUUAACUACAUCUGGGGGGUUGUGUUUGGUCAUCCAUAGCUGCAGCUCUUUCUUUGCAACAUUGUCUUCAUCUGUCAUGAUGUAAACUCGUUUAACUGAUCCAUACUUGUUACUUGAUAAUACUAGCUCUGUGGACAUGUCUUCUUCUGUGUACAGAUAUAUUGGCCGCACCAACAUUGUUGCUAGUGUCCAAUCCUGCCAUAGACACAGGGUAUGCAAGAUAAAGGAUGUUUUACAGAGGGAGGCUGGUGUUACCUGGAAAGGGCUUAGCUGAUACAUUUUCACUAACAGAUACUUGGGUCCCAACAAUAAUGUAGUUGGAGGAUUGUUGGUUCCAUUGUUGAAUGAAUAUUGGCUGUCCAAAAGAGAACCUUCUUGACUUCUCAAGGACUGCAAAUAGAAAAGAGGAAGAACUAUGGGACUGAGUUACUGAAGACUUGAUCUGUUUUUCCUGGAUUUCUUCAAGGUGAAUUAAUAAAACCAAGGGCCUGUAAGGAAUACAUACCUUCCUACUGAGGGUGGAGAUGUUGAGAAAUGGGCCAGGCAUCAAAGCUGCCACAAAAACACCAACACAAAUCUUCUCUGGAUAUUUCUCCAUAGCUUGAGAUAUGGCUAAUCCACCAGAGCUAUGAGCUACAAGAAUCACCUUUUGUCUUGCAGGAACAGAAGCCAUGAAAUCCAUGAGUGGCCUGAAGUAAUUAGACAGAGUUGGCACAUCAAGGACCUGUUCUGGAUUGAUCCCAGAAGCAGCCAUGUCAAGGGCUGUAACAUUCUGGCCUGAUGAUCUCAGCAACCCCACUAUCUUGUACCAGCACCAGGCUCCAUGCCCAGAUCCAUGAACAAGGACAAAGUUCUCAGCAGUUGUCUUCUGGAAAGGAAACAUCACGAGGAAAAUAAACAUCAAGGAUUUUAUACAAAGCUGUCAUUAUUAAUAACACCUACUUAUUACAACCAUGGAGAAAAACAAGAUCUGUCUUCUAAAGCUUGAAAUGAUGCACUUGAAUGUUUUCAGUGGUGAGCUUCUUGAAAUUACUGAGUUUCCUGGUUGCAUAAAACUUUCCCCAGCUGUAUCCUUUGUAUUUAGCUGGACUUUGCUCACUGACCAACUCCUCCAGGGGCUGUAUCCAUACGUCGUGUGAAGGAUUUAUGAAAUGACUUGCUUUCAUAUACCUGGAUAAGGUCACCGACAUUGACAAUAUAAGCAUCAGGAGUUGGCUUGACAAAGAUCCACUCUCCAUCAGAUUUCCUCUUCACUUCAAGUCCUCCUACGUCGUCCUGAAGCAGGAUUGUCAUUGCACCGGCAUCCUUAUGCCUUCCAAGGCCAAGUGCUAGCUCAGGAGCUGGACAAGGUGGGUAAUAAUUCAGCCUCAUGAAACUUGUCUGAUUCUUAAAUAAGCUAUGCAGCCGAUCUUCCGGAAGUCCCAUGCUCAAGGCUAUCAGCCCGAGCAACUUGUAAGUGAGCUUUUGCAUUUCUGCUGAGUACAUUUCACACACGUCUC